AUUGAACGCUGGCGGCAUGCUUUACACAUGCAAGUCGGACGAGUGGCGAACGGGUGAGUAACAUAUCGGAACGUACCGAGUAAUGGGGGAUAACUAAUCGAAAGAUUAGCUAAUACCGCAUAUUAUUAGAGCGGCCGAUAUCUGAUUAGAUGGUUGGUGGGGUAACGGCAUACCAAGGCGACUCUCAGUAGCGGGUCUGAGAGGAUGAUCCGCCCAACUGGGACGGAGACACGGCCCAUACUCAUACGGGAUGCAGCGGUGGGGAAUUUUGGACAAUGGGCGCAAUCCUGAUCCAGCCAGGCCGCUUGUCUGAAGAAGGCCUUCGGGUUGUAAAGGACUUUUUUCAGGGAAGCGGUACCUGAAGAAUAAGCACCGGCUAACUACGUGCCAGCAGCCGCGGUAAUUC
rnacentral:rRNA from 1 species